rnacentral:rRNA from 1 species
AUACGGAGGGUGCAAGCGUUGUCCGGAUUUAUUGGGUUUAAAGGGUGCGUAGGUGGUUUUUUAAGUCAGUGGUGAAAGCCUACAGCUUAACUGUAGAGGUGCCAUUGAAACUGGGAAACUUGAGUAUGGACGAGGUAGGCGGAAUUUGUGGUGUAGCGGUGAAAUGCAUAGAUACCACAAAGAACACCGAUAGCGAAAGCAGCUUACUAGGCCAUAACUGACACUGAGGCACGAAAGUGUGGGGAGCGAACAGGAUUAGAAACCCCAGUAGUCC